GGAUAUUACAUCCCCGCAGUAAUCUUCCCAUGUUUGGCAAUGCUCCGACUAGCGUACUCAAACGGGGGUGUUGUUACAGAAAGGACCCAGCGAAACAAGAACAAAAGUGAAUAAGUGCAACCAGUUUGUUGUUGUGAAGGUCGGCACCAGGCAACAGGAAAUCUGACUUACAGGCAGCGAAUCGGUCACGUUGCUUUGUUUUCAGAGGAAAGAGGCAGAUGCAGCAGUAGAACGAGCUUCGUAUGUUUUUAAUCCGGAUGCACUUUGCUGCUCGACGCUCGAUAUUCGGUUCAUUCACGAUGAAUCGAGUGACUACAUGUGAUGUGAAAUGAGCCUCUCAUCCCUCAUAUUGAUUAAUCUACCCAACAGAGCAGCUUUUUACCUCGUGCAUUUGCAUUUAUUACACAUUGCUGUUUUGGUUCCGUCUCCGUGCUCCCAUCAGCCUCACUUCCAGCAGCUGUUUCCUGCAAACAAGCUCAGAUAAACCCGCUGAAGGCUCCCUGCCCGGCAACAACCGCUGGACAACCAGCGAACCACCAGCUGCUGAGGUGGAACAUGUGGAACAUGUUUCUCUCAGGAGUUGGUGGAGGGUCUGGACUGUACAUGAAGGCCGCUCCACUCCGGCCACUCUGAACAUGAGGCCACUUCGGCUCAUAGCGUGUUUAGCUCUAUUAAAUGCUAACUUCACGAUGUGUGUUUUGCUUCGCUAUAGCAACAGGAGAUGAGAGCGACAGCAAAUAUUAAACACACCCUCCACUUCAGCCAGUGUCCGGCUGUCACCACCACUGCACAGAACCAGGGACCAGUGGAUGAAGUUACACAGAGUGACUGGUGAGACUGGGUCGUCCUGAAGGAUCAUGCACAGGUAGUUUGCAGUAAACUCAGGAUGUGACACACUUUAAAAAGCCCAAUAAUAAAGCGCUGGUAAACAGAGUAAUUGUCAAACCAUUCAAAAAUCACAUAUUAUCUAUAUUGUUAAACUCUCUUUGAAGGAUCCAAUCAAUGUUCAGUGUCUUGCAGCCUUUCCACUGGUCUCCAUCUGUCUGCUGCUGCACAUACAGAGGAUCUGGUUUGCAUGAAGAGCCACAGUCACCAGCAUUUAACAGAACGAGAACAAAAAAAAAUGCAAACUGACUUCAACAGCAACACGGAGGAAAAUGUCCCAGCACCACCCACACUGUUUGAGUGACAGAUCACUGGGGAGCGGGGAUGAAAAAUCCACCAGCACAAUAAACACUUUGCUUAUUAAGACGAAGACUAAACAGAAUGUGUGUUUGCGUGUUUGCGGUGGGAAGCUCUGACAGCACCGUGUUAUUCCGCUGCCAUCUCGGCUCUAACAUGGUGUCAUGUUCUUGUUCUUUAUGCAUGAAGAGCAGAAGGUUUCUCAUUUGUUUCCUCUCCGCCUGCGCCGUGCACGAGUAAUGACACUAAUGAACCCGAACACCGUCGACUGGUAAACACAGUGAUCCUGCGUUCCAAACACUGAACUUUGCUGUAACUAGAAGCUGUUUGAGGAGCUCAGGGUUUGGGAGGAACCAGCGAUCUGACUCUGUAAGAGCAGGAAUGAUUCACACACACACACACACGUUAUGCAAAAGGAAUCAACGGUUACAUCACUUCCUGGCUCGGUGUUUCAUUCACAGGCCAAAGGGUGAAUAACCAAUUCAUAAAUCUUGUUAUGUAAAGAAAUGAGUGUUUAUUACGCUCAUUAAUUGUACUGUGGCAUAAAAGAGCAGAUUUAGGAUUCCUCUUGUUUCCUUUCACGAACUCUAGUAAAGAGAUUGUCACCUGCAAACACUGUAACUACAGAUAGAGAAAGAGAGGGAAGUGAAAACAUAUUGAUCACCCUUGCAUUUCCCAAACUAAAUGAAUUUCAGUUGUGUAAUCCACAAACAAUGUCCUGCCCUCACACGUGCUGCUGCAGUGGAGAUGCAUGUGGUCACAGCUCAGAGCAGCACGUUCGAUUACAGCCUAUAAGAACAAGAGGAAUAAGAGGAAAUCAUAAUCCAAUCCUUCCUCCAAACCCGGUGUCAGAAGAGUUGUGUUGUCGGGUUUUUAGUCGGACAUUCGUUGCUAUAGCAACCCGCUGCUGGCUCGUCUCCACGGACGUGUAACUGACGUGUUUAUAUCCAGGUUUUUAUUUCUCAGAUCCGAGACCAAAACAAAUAUUCACAGGCGUGACGGCUGGAUCAUGAUUGUUUGUCCCGUGUGUUGCUGACACACAACGUUGUGAGCAAAUGUUUGUUUGAACUCAGUAAAACACAGUUUGCCUUUGUGUUUUUUUUACAGCAUUGUUUACUGCGUCGUGCUUUUUACAUGGACCUGAUGACUAUUUUUUGCUAUUUCAUAUCGUAUCUGGUCCGACUCUCGUUUCUCUCUGAUUUGAAAUAACUCUCAUGGAGUGUGUUGUUUUAUCCAAUGCUGUUGCUACAGUAACACAACUGAUUCCAGUGCAAACUUCAAAAGGUCAAUUGCUUCCUUUAACCUUUAUUGAAAGUGUGUUUAGCCGCGCACCUUCUCACAAUGAGGGCAGAAUAAUUAGACAAAGGUUUCAGAUCCUUUUAUAACUCCGUGUUGGGUUUAGCUCCGAAAGCAGAGAGCACCGUGGGAGCUUAACUUUCUAAAGUUAAUUUAUUCCUGAUAUAUACUCUUAUAAUGGCUGAGGUUGUUAGUAAUGGAUGCUGGCUUCACUCAGUAUUAAUUAAUAGAUGUCUCCACUUGUGACAUUAAGAUCUCGAUGGCAAAAUGAGCCGUCGUGUGAUCAAUCAGUGUUUAAUGAUGACAAAAUAAAUGUCACUGAAAUGCCAAGAGAUUUAAUUGUUGCUGCUAAUGUGGAUAAAUCUGAAAUAAUUCACACAUUAACUGAAGCUUUUCAUCUAUUGUACAGAUGUUUUUGCUCUGCUGCUGGUUUUAUGUCGUUUCUUCUGCCUUUUCAAAGCUUCAGAUGGAGCCUUUAAAAAAAGGAGCGCGGCAGAAAUUACAACAUUUGGCAGAGUCGCUGCCAGAUCCCGAAUCCAUCGCUGUCGGUGUGUGAGCUUUGAAGAACGAGAUGCGGUGCGACAAAUGAGAAAUGUGUUUGGGUUGGAGCAGAACUGAAACAGACACAGGGCCACCGCUGAGAAAACCACUUGGGGUGACACACUUUAAUCCAAACCCCUGUUCAGUGAUGACAACAGCAUCCAAUCAAUGGAUGUGUUGUGUAAAACAUCCUUCAGAUCUGCAGCCUAUCACACGAGAGGCGGGGCAGGACCUGGACAAGUCGCUGGCCAAUCACAGAGCUGACAUUCACACUCACAUUCACACCUAAUUAUUGGUGAUUUAGGGUUUUAUUAAUUAACCUGAACGUCUGUGGGAGGAAGGACAACUUGAAAACUCAGAGAAAGCCCCCGGCUGUCAGGUUCGAAGGAAACAGUGGUUAUCCCGUAACCUUUGUUCUAUCACCGCCAACGGGUCAAAACUGUGACGUGUUCUGUGAAACACAAAAACAUCUCCAAGGUCGAUAUCGGCAAAAAACUUUGUAAAGAGAUUCCAAGAUGGUGAAUCACUCUGACUUCUGUCCUGUCGGGGGUUUGGUUUUGGCAACAAACCUGUUUCAGUUAAGGUGGGUGAAAGAUCAUAGUUUUGGUUUACAAAUGAUUUGGUAGUUGAAUAAAAAGUUUGGUUUCGUAAA